rnacentral:piRNA from 1 species
UACAACCCACGACAGGCUUGU